rnacentral:rRNA from 1 species
AGAGUUUGAUCCUGGCUCAGAAUGAAGGUUUGCGGCGUUGAUUAGGCAUGCAAGUCGCGCGACAAGCCUCCUUUUGAAGCUUCGGUUGAUUAUUAGGGUGGAAAGUGGCGAAAGGGAGAGUAACGCGUAGAUAUCUACCCCUAGAUCUGGGAUAGCGUCGGGAAACUGGCGGUAAUACUGGAUAAUGUCUCCGGACUAAAGGUGUAAUUCCGUCUAGGGAUGGGUCCGCGUCCUACUAGCUUGUUGGUGGGGUAAUGGCCUACCAAGGCAAUGAUGGGUAGCGGGUGUGAGAGCAUGACCCGUCUCACUGGGACUGAGACACUGCCCAGACACCUACGGGUGGCUGCAGUCGAGAAUCUUCCGCAAUGGACGAAAGCCUGACGGAGCGACGCCGCGUGCGGGAUGAAGGCCUUCGGGUUGUAAACCGCUGUCAGUUGGGAGGAAAUGCUAUGGGGCAAUCUUCAUAGUUUGACCGAUCUUCAGAGGAAGUCCGGGCUAAGUUCGUGCCAGCAGCCGCGGUAAGACGAACCGGACAAACGUUAUUCGGAAUCACUGGGCUUAAAGAGUGCGUAGGCGGCUUGGUAGGUUGGGUGUGAAAUCCCACAGCUCAACUGUGGAACUGCGCUCAAAACCACAAAGCUUGAGGGAAGCAGAGGUAAGCGGAACUGAUGGUGGAGCGGUGAAAUGCGUUGAUAUUAUCAGGAACACCAGUGGCGAAGGCGGCUUACUGGGCUUCUUCUGACGCUGAGGCACGAAAGCUAGGGUAGCGAACGGGAUUAGAUACCCCGGUAGUCCUAGCUGUAAACGAUGAGCACUUGUUCGAGGGGACUUCCACAUCCUCUCGGACGUAGCGAAAGUGUUAAGUGCUCCGCCUGGGGAGUAUGGUCGCGAGGCUGAAACUCAAAGGAAUUGACGGGGGCUCACACAAGCGGUGGAGGAUGUGGCUUAAUUCGAGGCUACGCGAAGAACCUUAUCCUGGUCUUGACAUGCUUGGGAAUACCCUGGAAACAGGGUAGUGCCUUCGGGAGCCCUUGCACAGGUGCUGCAUGGCUGUCGUCAGCUCGUGUCGUGAGAUGUCGGGUUAAGUCCCUUAACGAGCGAAACCCUUGUCCCUAGUUGCCAGCGAGUUAUGUCGGGGACUCUAGUGAGACUGCCGGUGUUAAACCGGAGGAAGGUGGGGAUGACGUCAAGUCCUCAUGGCCUUUAUGAUCAGGGCUGCACACGUCCUACAAUGCACCUUACAAAGGGAAGCGACCUCGCGAGAGCAAGCAAAUCCCAAAAAACGCGGCUCAGUUCGGAUUGCAGGCUGCAACUCGCCUGCAUGAAGCCGGAAUCGCUAGUAAUCGUGGGUCAGCAUACCACGGUGAAUAUGUUCCUGAGCCUUGUACACACCGCCCGUCAAGCCACGAAAGUGGGGUGCGCCCGAAGUCGCUGCAGCAACUAGCAAUAGAGCAAAGCGCCGAAGGUGAACUCCGCGAUUGGGACUAAGUCGUAACAAGGUA